ACUUAAAUAGCUUAUAGAGAGCGCGAUAUUGAAGAUAUUGAGGAAAAUAUUUUUUUAAGUA
rnacentral:tRNA from 1 species